rnacentral:rRNA from 1 species
GUGGGGAAUAUUGGACAAUGGGGGCAACCCUGAUCCAGCAAUGCCGCGUGUGUGAAGAAGGUCUUCGGAUUGUAAAGCACUUUCGACGGGGACGAUGAUGACGGUACCCGUAGAAGAAGCCCCGGCUAACUUCGUGCCAGCAGCCGCGGUAAUACGAAGGGGGCUAGCGUUGCUCGGAAUGACUGGGCGUAAAGGGCGUGUAGGCGGUUUGUACAGUCAGAUGUGAAAUCCCCGGGCUUAACCUGGGAGCUGCAUUUGAUACGUGCAGACUAGAGUGUGAGAGAGGGUUGUGGAAUUCCCAGUGUAGAGGUGAAAUUCGUAGAUAUUGGGAAGAACACCGGUGGCGAAGGCGGCAACCUGGCUCAUUACUGACGCUGAGGCGCGAAAGCGUGGGGAGCAAACAGGAUUAGAUACCCUAGUAGUCC